UAUAGGAAAUGCUGUUUUGUCCAUAGGAGAUACUCUUGCUUAUCCAGAUUUUGCGUGAUCUUUAUAUUGAAGAGUCAUUUGUUUUUUAAUGUGAUUUGUAUUUUUUAUUUAUUUUUAUUUUGUUUUAUAGAGAGAAGGGCUUUCUAAAUUCAACAAGAUCUAUGAAUUUGAUUAUUAUCUGUAUGGCCAGAAUGUUACCAUGAUAAUGACUUCGGUUUCUGGACACUUGCUGGCUCAUGAUUUCCAGAUGCGGUUUCGAAAAUGGCAUAGCUGCAAUCCCCUUGUCCUCUUUGAAGCAGAAAUCGAAAAAUACUGCCCAGAGAAUUUUAUAGACAUCAAGAAAACUCUGGAACGAGAGACACGGCAGUGCCAGGCCCUGGUGAUCUGGACUGACUGUGAUAGAGAAGGUGAAAACAUCGGG